rnacentral:rRNA from 1 species
UAGGGAAUCUUCGGCAAUGGACGAAAGUCUGACCGAGCAACGCCGCGUGAGUGAAGAAGGUUUUCGGAUCGUAAAACUCUGUUGUUAGAGAAGAACAAGGACGUUAGUAACUGAACGUCCCCUGACGGUAUCUAAACAGAAAGCCACGGCUAACUACGUGCCAGCAGCCGCGGUAAUACGUAGGUGGCAAGCGUUGUCCGGAUUUAUUGGGCGUAAAGCGAGCGCAGGCGGUUUCUUAAGUCUGAUGUGAAAGCCCCCGGCUCAACCGGGGAGGGUCAUUGGAAACUGGGAGACUUGAGUGCAGAAGAGGAGAGUGGAAUUCCAUGUGUAGCGGUGAAAUGCGUAGAUAUAUGGAGGAACACCAGUGGCGAAGGCGGCUCUCUGGUCUGUAACUGACGCUGAGGCUCGAAAGCGUGGGGAGCAAACAGG